AUUUUUUAAAAUGUAAAUGGAGUAAAUGAUAAAAUGUAGACUGAAUUUAUCAUAAAGACAUUUUCUUUUGGUAUACUGCAAGGAACUAUGAACUUUUAGUAACUACUAUAAGCAACUGACAGGAAAAAAUGGCAACAGAAGAAGGAAAGAGGAGAGAAUGGGGAGCAGACACUAAGGUGUAGUGAAAGGAGGAAAAUGAAGGCUAAGUCUAAUGAUGUGAAUCCUCUUUGCAAUUCCAUCAAAGGAGGGAUCUUCCUACUGACCAGAAGACCUGAACAGCCUGAGAAUGAUUCCUUUCAACUCCGAGAGAAGAAGCUGCAGAUGAAGAGCAAUCCUGGGAUACAUGUGCAGAAUGUGCAGAAUGUGUACAUAGGUACACACUACCAUGGUGGUUUGCUGCACCCAUCAACUCGUCAUCUACAUUAGGAUACUGUUUACUGAAAACCCACCAAUCUGAUCUUUUAUGAGAAGCUAGUCCCUGAAAAGGCCCUUGGAUCAAAGGUCAAAAACUUGAAGCACAGAGUGGGAUGUCAGAUGCCAAGAUUUAAAUCUAGUCAUUUGAUUCCAGAGCCCACAUUCUUAAAUAAUAUGCUACACUGACCUUUAUUGUCUUUAAACAUUAUCUUUAUUUAAUGUGUUUCAUAGAAAUUACUUCUCAGGUAUUCCUAAAUUUAUUUUUAAAAAUAAUGUCAUGCUAUCACUAUAAUAUAGUUUUUUAAAUUAACUUGAGAGGUAAUGUAGUAUGAUCAACUUCCUUAAUGGCCUUUUAAACUGGAAAUAACUAUUAAAUAUUUUAAUAUUAUAAAUUAACAGGCAAAAUGGUGAAAAAUCUAACAUCUGGUUCUUAAAAGUAAGUUGAAAUAUAAGAUCAGAUUUGAAUGCACAUGGAAAAAUAGAACUGGCAAAUAAUGCCAUAUUUGAAGAUCUUUUAGUAUUCUCUGGUAUUUUUCCUUUCAUUUCAAAAUUGUUAUAUUCUUUUUAAUGACUUCAAAUGAAUUAGGAAAUGUCAGGCUUCUAAAAAUCAAACAGAACGUCCAACCAGUAGAUUUCAUUCAGGGCAGUGGGAGCCUGUUCGGUUGUUUCCUCUUUCCCCCUCACUUUUAAAAAUCCUCAAUCACUGCCAUUUCUCUUCUCAGCUUUCACAACACUUUACAGGCAGCUGAAUGAAAGGGCAGAAGCUUCCUCUGAAACUCCUGUUAUUUCAGCUCUAAAAUCAGCUGAAAAGGAUGCCCUCCCCAGAGACAGAAAUGCAUUCCCUCCAUCAUGAACCUGCAAUGCCCUCAGGUUGUGGCAAGGGAGAAGUUUAGCACUUGAACCUAGAUAACGCUAUUUUUUUAAUCAAAGUGCACCAUUCUUGUUUCAUAUGGCCUGUGGCACAAUUUAUUUAAAACAAUAUGGUGCAUCAAAGAAGGUAAACAAUAAUAACAAUAAUAAUAAUAUAGGAAUAGCAAUGUGCACAUAAAUAAUAUAGGAAAACACAUGGCCUCAGUACCUUCAUGAAAUGGGACUUCAAUAUACAUAUUUCUUAUACAGCUUUAUGCAUGACUUCAUUGCACUUCACUGCUCUGUUGUGUCACUCUACCAAUAAACCUAUACAUCAUACUGAGUGAAGUAUGUUCACAGUCCCUUUACUUGACAA
rnacentral:lncRNA from 1 species